rnacentral:lncRNA from 1 species
UGUUAUUGGUAUAGUGAAUCUCAAAAAAUGUAGUGGCUCAAAACACUAUUCUCUUAACAGUUCUGGGUGCCAGAAAUCUGAAAUAAAUUUUUGUUGCUGACAUCAAGGUAUCUGCAGAACUGGUUUCUUCUGGAGGCUCCAGCUAUGUAUCUGUUGUGAAAAUUCCCAUCCAGCUUCAAGAAUCACACUCUCAAGCAGAAGGCGAUCUAAGAGAAAGCAAGAGGCACACUACUCCAGGUUGGUAAGUAGUCAAAAAUUUAUUCAGGGGAAACUUACAUAUGAGGCAGUCUUGGGUGCAGCAA